rfam:Mustela putorius furo unplaced genomic scaffold scaffold00109, whole genome shotgun sequence.
GCCUGGCUGGCUCAGUCAGUAGAGCAGUUGACUCUUGAUCUUAGGAUUGUGAGUUCAAGCCCCAUGUUGGGUG